GAUGAACGCUGGCGGCGUGCCUAAUACAUGCAAGUCGAGCGAACAGACGAGGAGCUUGCUCCUCUGACGUUAGCGGCGGACGGGUGAGUAACACGUGGAUAACCUACCUAUAAGACUGGGAUAAAUUCGGGAAACCGGAGCUAAUACCGGAUAACAUGUUGAACCGCAGGGGUUAACAGUGAAAGACGGUCUUGCUGUCACUUAUAGAUGGAUCCGCGCCGCAUUAGCUAGUUGGUAAGGUAACGGCUUACCAAGGCAACGAUGCGUAGCCGACCUGAGAGGGUGAUCGGCCACCCUGGAACUUAGACACGGUCCAGACUCCUACGGUACGCAGCAGUAGGGAAUCUUCCGCAAUGGUCGAAAGCCUGACGGAGCAACGCCGCGUGAGUGAAGAAGGUCUUCGGAUCGUAAAACUCUGUUAUUAGGGAAGAACAAAUGUGUAAGUAACUAUGCACGUCUUGACGGUACCUAAUCAGAAAGCCACGGCUAACUACGUG
rnacentral:rRNA from 1 species